CGGCGAACGGGUGAGUAAUGCUUUCGGAAUCUUCCCAGUAGUGGGGAAUAACCAGUCGAAAGAUUGGCUAAUACCGCAUACGUCUGUAAAGGGAAAGCGGGGGCUCGUAAGACCUCGCGCUAUUGGAUGAGCCAAAGUCGGAUUAGCUUGUUGGUGGGGUAAUGGCCUACCAAGGCGACAAUCCGUAGCUGGUCUGAGAGGACGACCAGCCACACCGGAACUGAGACACGGUCCGG
rnacentral:rRNA from 1 species